UGGGGAAUAUUGCACAAUGGGCGAAAGCCUGAUGCAGCGACGCCGCGUGAGGGAUGACGGCCUUCGGGUUGUAAACCUCUUUCAGUAGGGACGAAGCGCAAGUGACGGUACCUGCAGAAGAAGCACCGGCUAACUACGUGCCAGCAGCCGCGGUAAUACGUAGGGUUCGAGCGUUGUCCGGAAUUACUGGGCGUAAAGAGCUCGUAGGCGGUUUGUCACGUCGUCUGUGAAAUCCUAGGGCUUAACCCUGGACGUGCAGGCGAUACGGGAUGAAUUGAGUACUAGAGGGGAGACUGGAAUUUCUGGUGGAGCGGUGGAAUGCACAGAUAUCAGGAAGAACACAGAAGGCGAAGGGAGGUCUCUGGGUAGUAACUGACGCUGAGGAGCGAAAGCAUGGGGAGCGAACAGG
rnacentral:rRNA from 1 species